AUUCAACGCUGGCGGCCGGCCUAACACACGCAAGUCGCGCGAGCGGCGGACGGGUGAGUAAUGUCUGGGAAACUGCCUGAUGGAGGGGGAUAACUACUGGAAACGGUAGCUAAUACCGAAUACACUCAGCUGUGCCCAGAGGGGAUGAGCUGGUGGGUGGGGUAAAGGCUUACCAAGGCGACGAUCCGUAACUGGUCUGAGAGGAUGAGCAGUCACUCUGGAACUGAGACACGGUCCAGUCUCCUACGGGAGGCAGCAGUGGGGAAUAUUGGACAAUGGGCGAAAGCCUGAUCCAGCCAUGCCGCGUUUGUGAAGAAGGUCUUCGGAUUGUAAAGCACUUUAAGUUGGGAGGCGUUACCAACAGAAUAAGCACCGGCUAACUUCGUGCCAGCAGCCGCGGUAAUUC
rnacentral:rRNA from 1 species